rnacentral:misc_RNA from 1 species
UGAUUCGUAGUUCGGCGAGCCGGGCUCUGAGAGUGUCGAUCAUUACGUCGAGCUUUCGUCGUUCGGAGUUACGUGCAUUGCGGUUCAUCGGUUCCGAACAUCAGCUCGAAAACAAACAAAAAUGGUAACAACAAAGUGUCACACCAUGAAAACGACAUCACUGGACGAUUAGUUGCGUGGCUAUAAUUCGACUAUCCGGUAAACUGUGGUAACAGAUGGUUAAAGUCUUCUACCGAAUCUCUUCACUUGUAAUUAGUUUCACACUCUCGGACUGGCACUGUCAAUAUCGUCAUUUACAGACGUUUCUAAUUAACUUUGAAAAUAACACCGAGGAUAUCCAUGAGUGAGUGUGUCUGCAUAACGGAGCUUUUCAAAGCGAGAUAUCAAUCGAUGGACAGUAUCUCUUGAAGGAUUGCAGAGGUCGAGCGAGGCUUGUUAUCCGAGGGUCUGGAGCAACGCAAAGAGGCAUUCAAGGACGAUGAGGAAUUGAUGAAGGAAACCACAAGGUUCGUCGCUGACGUCAUUGAGUCCGCAACCACCGAGGCCUCUAGACGGAAGUGUCAAAAAGCGGAGUUCCAAGCUGACGAAGGAAGUAGUUUGAGAGGGGGAGAUCGUAUCCGCGGUUGGAACUCACGGGCUCGGGGCUUCUGCAACCGAAUUCUGAAUGCAGUUUGUCCCUGCAUCACGACCAAUGAAUUUAUCAGCUGGGCCUCCUAUCGCUUUACGAGACCUUAGCCAGCUCCCGCGGGCUUCAGGAAUGAAUUCUCCCUCACUCAAUCGACGUACCGUUCGUCGAUGUAACCGAUAAAGUAAAUUUUUCAAUUUCACAGCUGACUUCGUAAAAGAUCAAACGAUCGAGAGACGAUGAAGUAACCGAUUUAUGUUCAUAUGUGUAUAAUAUCACAUUACGUAUGUAUGUGUACUAACUAACUAUGGUACGAAUCUAUACGAUAAGCGUACAGUUUUUUUUACCAUCGAACAAUUAUUGUUCACUUUUAUGGAGACUAAAGUAGCUAAUCUAAAAAACGUUGCUGAAAAUCAUACAUCAGGAAUCUCGUUAGUUAUUUUAUAUUCUAAUACAUAUACAUCGUACGCUCUUUAAAAUGAUGCAGUUUCCAAAACCGAUCUUCGGUAGGCUCGAGUUAUGAACCCGAUUGCAGGGCUGUAAGGAAAUCGACCGCCCUUGCUUUAUUGAGAACAUUCGAGUGAAUAAUGAUCGUCGGCUAUGUAAGGAGUGAAAUUAUAACACGAGGUGACUAUACUAUAUUCAGUGUACUGUAUAAUUGGAUUGAACAAUCUGAUUGUGAAUAACACCCUUGCUAAAAGACGGAAGUAAAACACACCCAAAACAGUGCGCUGAGUGCACAUAAUGAAAGUCGAGAGAAAAAGUGUGCAGGAAAUUAUAUAUAUUUAAGAAACUGUUAAUAUUAGUUGAACAGAAUUAAUUAUAAAUAUGUCUAUAUAUAUAUAUUUACACCGCUCGUCUGACAAUCAGCGAAGCUUUCGGCCACAUUAUCGACCAAUACAAUCGUGUAACAAUAAAUGUACAAAAACCACGUAUAUGGAUAUCGUGCAUAUCUUCUUGAUCUUGCAAUGUUAUAGCUAUAACUAACGGAAAAAAUUCCUCGUCCCCAUUUGAGCUCUGCACAGCAUUAGUUGUUCGAAAUAAAAAUAAGCUCUGAGCUUUUUACGCAGGCACUUUAACGUUUUACGUGUAUAAAAUUCGAAUUGGAUGGCUGUUACGACGGUGAUAAUCGUUCAUAUUUGUAAAGUGGUCGUCAAGCUACGUUACACAGCCUCUGAAAACGUUGAAAAAGAGUGAUCGAUUUCGUCCGAAUGAAAUUCAGGUCACAUGCAGUGCUGAACAACUGGCGUGAUACGUACUUCUGUAUAGCUGUAGGUUAAUUUUAUUGCAGUAUUGUGGACCGCGAUUGAAUCGAUAAUGCAGUAUCACUACUAUUCACUGCCGAAGCUAUGACUGUUACUUUCAAGGCUCACGGCAGUGAUUGUACAAACGAAAACGGAUCAAUAAAAUUUGCAACUGUAAUUUUCUGUUCUGAUUAACUAAGAUUUUAAGCAAAGAAACCGAAAGAAAAACAGUCUUGGCCACUACGCGGAAGGAAAGGAAUUCGUGAACCAACAAAAUAGAUUUUGUUGGAGUCAAUUAACUUCGAUCUAGUACUCUUCGUUUGUUCCAAAUACGAUGACGUCAAUUCAAUAAUUUCGAUUUAUCUAGUUUGUCAAUAUGAUUUGGUCAAGCGAAUUUCUUCGUUCAACGAAAGCUUUUCCUGUAGUGAUCGAGUCAAGUAUUGAUUCACGUGAAUCUUUUGACGUGUUUCCGAAAUUGAGUAAACUAAAUAUCAUUUUAUUCGAAGUUUACGUAUUGUUCCUACGAGUCGCAUGUUUGUUGACAAAAACAAUUAGGUACUCUAAAUAAAAGGAGUACAUGAAUCUGGCCGGUAAAAAGUUCAGGUACAUGAAUUGAAUGCCAUGCUUUGGUGAUCUUAAACCAGAGCUUGUUUGGCGUAACUCAUUGAAUCAGUUGCACUAAUCUAUUUACGAAGUAAAAUAUACACCGCAUGCUUUAAAACAAGUAUAGAACAUAUUCAUCAUAAACAUUAGUAUGCAAGUACUAUAAACGGCAACCAGGAGGUGAAUUCUACCCCACAAAAUUAUAAAUCAACAGAAUUAUAAAUGAUAUUAUUCGAAGAAUACGUUUUGGUUGCUUGGAAAACUGUAAUAUUCAAUUAAUGCAAAAGACAACAAAUUCAUUACCUGAUUCAACCAUUGAACUCUUGACUCAACACGACAUGAAUAAUAAUCCUUUCCUUCCGUGUACUUGUCGUUUAUUGACUGUUACAAAAUAUCCGUUACCAUCUGAAUGAAUAGGCUUUGUGAGACAGUUGGGAAAUGUUCUAUUAGUAAACCGAUUGUAUCUUGUUUACUGUAUACUGUUUGUACUUAAAAUAAUACCAAUGUAAUAUUAAAUAUGAAGUUAUAUCAACGGUGUAGUAUAAGCGAUAUUGUAUAUCUUUAUAUUAGAGAGCAUUUAAUUGUAUGUGUAAAUACGAUAUAAAAACGCAGUUUCCAGCCUCCGGGACAUAGCUAUUAUGAAAAGCGAAUGAAUUAUUAAAUAAGCUAAGUGACAAUCAUCAAUGAAAAUCAAAAACAGGUCAUCAUAGUUGUGUAAGUAUGCUGUAACAUUGUACAAUGAGAUGAAUAAAUUUUU